UGCAGGUCGAGCGGACAGAUGGGAGCUUGCUCCCUGAUGUUAGCGGCGGACGGGUGAGUAACACGUGGGUAACCUGCCUGUAAGACUGGGAUAACUCCGGGAAACCGGGGCUAAUACCGGAUGGUUGUUUGAACCGCAUGGUUCAAACAUAAAAGGUGGCUUCGGCUACCACUUACAGAUGGACCCGCGGCGCAUUAGCUAGUUGGUGAGGUAACGGCUCACCAAGGCAACGAUGCGUAGCCGACCUGAGAGGGUGAUCGGCCACACUGGGACUGAGACACGGCCCAGACUCCUACGGGAGGCAGCAGUAGGGAAUCUUCCGCAAUGGACGAAAGUCUGACGGAGCAACGCCGCGUGAGUGAUGAAGGUUUUCGGAUCGUAAAGCUCUGUUGUUAGGGAAGAACAAGUACCGUUCGAAUAGGGCGGUACCUUGACGGUACCUAACCAGAAAGCCACGGCUAACUACGUGCCAGCAGCCGCGGUAAUACGUAGGUGGCAAGCGUUGUCCGGAAUUAUUGGGCGUAAAGGGCUCGCAGGCGGUUUCUUAAGUCUGAUGUGAAAGCCCCCGGCUCAACCGGGGAGGGUCAUUGGAAACUGGGGAACUUGAGUGCAGAAGAGGAGAGUGGAAUUCCACGUGUAGCGGUGAAAUGCGUAGAGAUGUGGAGGAACACCAGUGGCGAAGGCGACUCUCUGGUCUGUAACUGACGCUGAGGAGCGAAAGCGUGGGGAGCGAACAGGAUUAGAUACCCUGGUAGUCCACGCCGUAAACGAUGAGUGCUAAGUGUUAGGGGGUUUCCGCCCCUUAGUGCUGCAGCUAACGCAUUAAGCACUCCGCCUGGGGAGUACGGUCGCAAGACUGA
rnacentral:rRNA from 1 species